rnacentral:rRNA from 1 species
UACGGGGGGGGCAAGCGUUGUUCGGAAUUACUGGGCGUAAAGGGUUCGUAGGUGGCUCGCUAAGUCAGACGUGAAAUCCCUCAGCUUAACUGGGGAACUGCGUCUGAGACUGGCGGGCUUGAGUGCAGGAGAGGAACGCGGAAUUCCAGGUGUAGCGGUGAAAUGCGUAGAUAUCGAGAGGAACACCUGCGGCGAAGGCGGGUUGCUGGGCUGACACUGACGCUGAUGCGCGAAAGCCAGGGGAGCGAACGGG